AACAAACGCUGGCGGCGUGCCUAAUACAUGCAAGUCGAACGGGGAAAGCUUUCGGGUGAGUACUAGUGGCGCACGGGUGAGGAACGCGUGGAUAAUCUGCCUUAGAGUGGGGGAUAACGAAUCGAAAGAUUAGCUAAUACCGCAUAAGACCACAAGAACUGCGGUUCAAGGGGUCAAAGGUUUUUCGCUCCAAGAUGAGUCCGCGUAAGAUUAGCUAGUUGGUGAGGUAACGGCUCACCAAGGCGACGAUCUUUAACUGGUCUGAGAGGAUGAUCAGUCACACUGGAACUGAGACACGGUCCAGACUCCUACGGGAGGCAGCAGUAGGGAAUAUUGCACAAUGGAGGAAACUCUGAUGCAGCGACGCCGCGUGAGUGAUGAAGGCCUUCGGGUCGUAAAGCUCUGUCGCAGGGGAAUAAAAAAAUGAAGGUACCCUGCAAGAAAGGAUCGGCUAACUUCGUGCCAGCAGCCGCGGUAAAAC
rnacentral:rRNA from 1 species